rnacentral:rRNA from 1 species
UACGUAGGGGGCUAGCGUUGUCCGGAAUCAUUGGGCGUAAAGAGCGCGUAGGCGGCUAGAUAAGUCCGGUGUGAAAGUCACAGGCUCAACCUGUGAAUGCCGCUGGAAACUGUCUGGCUAGAGUCCGGAAGGGGCGAGUGGAAUUCCUGGUGUAGCGGUGAAAUGCGCAGAUAUCAGGAGGAACACCAAUGGCGGAGGCAGCUCGCUGGGACGGUACUGACGCUGAGGCGCGAAAGCUAGGGUAGCAAACGGG